rnacentral:rRNA from 1 species
GACGAACGCUGGCGGCGUGCCUAAUACAUGCAAGUAGAACGCUGAAGGAGGAGCUUGCUUCUCUGGAUGAGUUGCGAACGGGUGAGUAACGCGUAGGUAACCUGCCUGGUAGCGGGGGAUAACUAUUGGAAACGAUAGCUAAUACCGCAUAAGAGUAGAUGUCGCAUGACAUUUGCUUAAAAGGUGCAAUUGCAUCACUACCAGAUGGACCUGCGUUGUAUUAGCUAGUUGGUGAGGUAACGGCUCACCAAGGCAACGAUACAUAGCCGACCUGAGAGGGGGAUCGGCCACACUGGGACUGAGACACGGCCCAGACUCCUACGGGAGGCAGCAGUAGGGAAUCUUCGGCAAUGGACGGAAGUCUGAACGAGCAACGCCGCGUGAGUGAAGAAGGUUUUCGGAUCGUAAAGCUCUGUUGUAAGAGAAGAACGAGUGUGAGAGUGGAAAGUUCACACUGUGACGGUAUCUUACCAGAAAGGGACGGCUAACUACGUG